UACGAGUGCCCCAAGCGUUGUCCGGAAUCAUUGGGCGUAAAGGGUGUGUAGGUGGUUUUGUUAGUCUUCUGUCAAAAUCCAGAGCUCAACUCCGGACCUGCAGAGGAAACGGCAAGACUCGAGGAUGCGAGAGGUGAAUGGAACUCAUGGAGUAGGGGUGAAAUCCGUUGAUAUCAUGGGGAACACCAAAGGCGAAGGCAAUUCACUGGCGCAUUCCUGACACUGAGACACGAAAGCGUGGGUAGCGAACGGG
rnacentral:rRNA from 1 species